CUGGCCCCUGGGGCAGGCGCACACACAGAACGCCGUGCCCCUGCAGGGACAUCGGGAGACCCGGCUUCCACCUCCGUCCCACAAGUCCAGCCACCACCCAAGAGGCCUGUUUCCCCAAACACCCUCUAAGGGCCCUAUAAAGUGAGAGCAGGUUCGCACUGUUUUAUCCGACAUUCAAAAAAGCCCUCAAAGUGAAAGUUUUUCAUCCCUGGUUUGACCCGCCACGAAGCUAUUCAGUGUCUUGAUCCCAACGAUUCCAGGUAAAGACACGGAGCCCAGGAGUGACGGGCCACCCGGGCACGAGCGAGCGGCGGAGCCCGGACUGAAGCCUGGGCAGCGAGGUUCUAGAACCUUCCGCACGUUUGCACCAGUGAUGACGGAUCUCAUUGGAGGCUUGGAACCCGAGUGCCCCGGGUGGGCAGGGCAGGUGAAGGCCUGCCCGGCCGCUGGCUCUGGAACUGUGGUUGUCAUGGUUUGUAACUAAUGGAUGAAAUGUGAUGGGCCUGCGCUGGGCACUGAGGGGGAGAGUGAACAAAGUGGUCCUGACAAGGAUUCCCCCACGUCUCGCGUCUUAGAGACGAGCUGGGGGCAUCCAGGCAGAAGGUGUAGACAGAGGGGACAUGGGGGCCAGUGAGGAGGCCUGAGCAGGGACUAGGGUGUGGCUGGAGUAGAAGCAGAGAGCAGGCCCCCAGGUUUCUGGCUUGCACAAACCGGGAAGAGUGCAAUGGGGGAGGGGGAAUUCAGGAGCCCCAGUCCUUUCCAAGCUGUUGUUGAUAUCAGUGUCAUCGGGGCGCUGAGGAGGUGAGACGCACCGUGUUCGAUGCUUGAUGUAAAAGCAUUAUGCCAGCGCUCCGAGAACCUACCAGCCAGGAGAGAGAACACCUGUUAGAAGGCCUGCCCUGCUCUCUGCACAAGUCACACGUUACAUGAGUCGUGGGCCCCCACUCACCUUGGCAUACAUCACCCAGACUGAGAGUUCAGGCCCUUGUGACAGAGGGUCCUUGCUCAAUCAGUCAGUCAAUCAGUGCACCCUGCCGCCCUCGACUGGGCGCUGGACAGCCAGAGUUCCAGUGAGGCAGGGAGAUGCACCAACAGAUGCAGUGACAGUAGGGCUCUGUGUCAUCAUCACACGUGGCAGAAACCGAGGGAAAGGGCUUGAGUCAUCCUGGGGCAACCAGAGGAGACUCUUUGGAGGGAGCUUUGACAAGAAUCAUCAAAUAGCCGCAAAAUGCGGGGGAGCAGGGCGAUUCGGAUGAAGAGAGGGAUGCGUUCAUCCCUCUCUGUAAGUCUCUUCUCCAUACGACAAAGCUGCACUCAUCAAAACAGCAUGGUAGUGGCACAAAAACAGACAUGAAUCAAUGGAAUGGAAUACAGAGCCUAGAGAUACACCCAUACACCUACUGUCAAUUAAUCUUCGACAAAAGAGGCAAGAAUAUACAGUGGAAAAAAGUCUCUUCAGCAAGUGGUGUUGGGAAAGUUGGGCAGCCUCAUGUAAAUCAAUGAAGUUAGAACACUCCCUCACACCAUACACAAAAAUAAACUCAACAUGGCUCAAAGACUUAAAUAUAAGACAUGAAACCAUAAAACUCCUAAAAGAGAACAGAGGCAAUACAUUCUCUGACAUAAAUCAUACCGAUGUUUUCUUAGGUCAGUCUCCCAAGGCAACAGAAAUAAAAGCAAAAAUAAAUGAGACCUAAGCAAACUUACAAGCUUUUAUACAGCAAAGGAAACCAUAAACAAGACGAAAAGACAACCUACAGACUGGGAGAAAAUAUUUGCAAAUGAUGCAGCCGACGAGGGCUUAAUAUCCAAAAUAUACAAAUAGCUCUUACAAGUCAACAAAAAAAAACCAGACAACCCAAUCAAAAAAGGGGCAGAAGAUCUAAAUAGACAUUUCUCCAAAGAAGACAUACAGACGGUGAACAGGCACAUGAAAAGAUGCUCGAUCACUAAUUAUUAGAGAAAUGCAAAUCAAAACUACAAUGAGGUAUCACCUCACACCGGUAAGAAUGGCCAUCAUCAAAACGUGUACAAAUUACAAAUGCUGGAGAGGGUGUGGAGAAAAGGGAACCCUCUUACACUGUCAGUGGGAAUGCAAAUUGGUACAGCCACUAUGGAAAACAGUAUGGAGGUUCCUCAAAAAACUAAAAAUAGGGUUGCCAUAUGAUCCAGCAAUCCCACUCCUAGGUGUGUAUCUGAACAAAACUAUAAUUCAAAAAGAUACAUGCACCCAGAUGUUCGUAGCAGCACUAUUCACAAUAGCUAAGACAUGGAAACAACCUAAAUGUCCAUUGACAGAUGAAUGGAUAAAGAAGAUGUGGUGUAUAUAUAAUGGAAUAUUACUCGGCCAUAAAAAGGAAUGAAAUAAUGCCAUUUGCAGCAACAAGGAUGGACCUAGAGAUUUUCACACUAAGUGAAGUAAGCCAGACAGAGGAAGACAAAUACCGUAUGAUAUCACUUAUAUGUGGAAUCUAAAAUAUGAUGCAAUACGAAAAAAUGAAUACGAAAUGUUCUACGAAACAGAAACAGACUCACAGACAUAGAGAACAGACUUGUGGUUGCCAAGGGGGAGGAGGGUGGGGAGGGACGGUUUGGGAGUCUGGGAUUAGCAGAUGCAAACUAUUAUAUAUAGAACGGAAAACAACAAGGUCCUACUGUAUAGCACAGGAAACUAUAUUCAAUAUCCUGUGAUAAACCAUAAUGAAACAGAAUAUGAAAAGAGUGUAUAUGUAUGUAUAACUAACUCACUUUGCAGUACAGCAGAAAUUAAACACAACAUUGUAAAUCAACUAUACUUCAAUAAAAUAAAUUUAAAAAAUAAAAAAGUGAAAGUCUCUUCCCACAGACUAUUAUUAGAGUGGAUAAAUGAGGCAACAUUUCAGCCAGGUGGGAAAAAUGAACACCACAAUGAGGGGCAGAUGGGUGCCCAGAGAAAGGAUCACUUAUGCCCAGGAAUGCAUAACCUGUGUCUAUACCUGAGGAGCUUCACACAAACCCGAAAUAAGGAACAUUCUAUUAACAGGGGGAGAAAAGGACAGUAUUCUUCAGAAAUAUUAGUGCCAUAAAAAGCUGAUCUGUGGAAAUCUGCCAGACGUGACAACUAAACACAAUGCCUGAUGCUAGACUGGCUCCAGUAGGGCGGAGGGAAUUUUUUUUUACUAUUUAUUUUAUUUAUUUAUUUAGCCUGCACCGGGUCUUGGUCGUAGCAUGCGGACUCUUAGUUGCAGCAUGCAUGCAGGAUCUUAGUUCCCCGACCAGGGAUCAAACCCGGUCCCCCUGCAUUGGGAGCAUGGAGUCUUACCCACUGGACCAGCAGGGAAGUCCCUGGGCAGAGGGAAAUUAUUAGGUCCAUUGACAAAACUGAAAUUCAGACAUAGAUGGAAUAAAUGCAUUGCAUCAAUAUUAAGUUUAUGGGAAUCAGUAGCUGUUCUCUGGUUAUGUAAAAGAAUGUUCUUCUUGGAAAAUUCACACUGAAGUAUUUAGGGGCUACUAUAGACUAAAUAUCUGUGUACCCUAAAAAUUCGUAUGUGGAAACAUAAUCCCCAAUGUCAUGGUAUUAGGAGGUGGGGCCCUUAGGAGGUGAUUAGAUCAUGAGGGCGGAGCCCCCAUGAAUAGGAUUAGUGCCCUGGUUGAAGAGACCCCAGAGACCUCCGUCGCCCCUUCUGCCCUGUGAGGACACAGCGAGAACCAGGAAGCAAACGUCACCAGACCCCAAAUCUGCUGGCACCUCGAUCUCGGACUCCAGUCUCCAGGACUGUGAGAAAUAGAUUUCUGUUAUUUAUAAGACCCCAGUCCGUGGCCUUUUUGUUAGAGCCGCCCCAGUGGACGAUGCCAGGGGUAAAGUGCCACUCUGUAUGCAGCUCACUCUCAAGUACUUCAGAAAAGUAUAUUUUCUGUCUAUAAAACACGGACGGAGAGAGACAGCAAACGAGCAAGCACGGGGGGCAAACUGUUAAUAGCUGAAUCUGGGGAAAGGUAUGCAGUUUGGGUUUUUUUUUUUACUGUACUCAUUCUUGCAAUUAUUCUGUACACCUGAAUGAUUUGCAAAUAAAGAGUACAAGAAAUGAAACUAAGAAAGUAAAAAGCAGUGUGUUCAGCGGAGAGGUCAGAGAGGAAGAGGGGAGGCUGCAGGGGGCGUUCCUGGCAGCAGGAACAGCCAAGGUGAAGGCGCGGAGGACACGCCACCCAGGAGGGCGGCCGGGCAGAGUGUCCCUGUGUCCCUUGCUCCUGGCACUUCUCUGCCAUUUCGACGGCGCGUGGGGUGAGGUCUGGGCCACCCCAGCAGCUAAGCAUCUUAGCCUAGCGGAGGGAGA